rnacentral:rRNA from 1 species
CGCGGCCUAUCAGCUUGUUGGUGGGGUAAUGGCCUACCAAGGCAACGACGGGUAGCUGGUCUGAGAGGACGAUCAGCCACACUGGGACUGAGACACGGCCCAGACUCCUACGGGAGGCAGCAGUGGGGAAUAUUGCGCAAUGGGCGAAAGCCUGACGCAGCAACGCCGCGUGGGGGAUGAAGGCCUUCGGGUUGUAAACCCCUUUCAGCAGGGACGAAAAUGACAGUACCUGCAGAAGAAGCCCCGGCCAACUACGUGCCAGCAGCCGCGGUAACACGUAGGGGGCGAGCGUUGUCCGGAUUUAUUGGGCGUAAAGAGCUCGUAGGCGGUUGCGUAAGUCGGAUGUGAAAACUCAGGGCUCAACCCGGAGAUGCCAUUCGAUACUGCGCUGACUAGAGUCCGGUAGGGGAGCAUGGAAUUCUUGGUGUAGCGGUGAAAUGCGCAGAUAUCAGGAGGAACACCAGCAGCGAAGGCGGUGCUCUGGGCCGGGACUGACGCUCAGGAGCGAAAGCGUGGGUAGCAAACAGGAUUAGAUACCCUGGUAGUCCACGCCAUAAACGUUGGGCACUAGGUGUGGGGCCUGCACAAUGGGUUCCGUACCGUAGCUAACGCAUUAAGUGCCCCGCCUGGGGAGUACGGAA